AACGCUGGCGGCGUGCCUAACACAUGCAAGUCGAGCGGAGACAUUGGCUUCGGUUAAUGUUUUAGCGGCGGACGGGUGAGUAACGCGUGAGCAACCUUUCUCUUACUGGGGAAUAACACAGGGAAACUUGUACUAAUACCGCAUGAGACCACGGAAGGGCAUCCUUCAGAGGUCAAAGAUUUAUCGGUAAGAGGUGGGCUCGCGUCUGAUUAGAUAGUUGGUGGGGUAACGGCCUACCAAGUCGACGAUCAGUAGCCGACCUGAGAGGGUGAUCGGCCACAUUGGGACUGAGACACGGCCCAAACUCCUACGGGAGGCAGCAGUGGGGAAUAUUGGGCAAUGGGGGAAACCCUGACCCAGCAACGCCGCGUGGAGGAAGAAGGUUUUCGGAUCGUAAACUCCUGUCCUCAGGGAAGAGCAGAAGACGGUACCUGAGGAGGAAGCCCCGGCUAACUACGUG
rnacentral:rRNA from 1 species